rnacentral:precursor_RNA from 1 species
CAGGAAAAAUUUUUACUGGCGUAUACACUAUAAACGCCAGGAAAGUUAAUUUCCCGGCACCGGAUUCCCGGCGUUUGAUAAACGCCAAAAUUUAAACGCCAGGAAGGUCUUCCUGGCGUUUAAAUGGUGUUUCCUGGCGUUUAAAAAAUGCCAGGAAAACUCGUUUUUUUUGUAGUGAAUUAACAAACUCCUUAUUAGUUUUACUUUAACUAUUAUCAGACUUCCUCCUUACAUUCCAAGAGCCAAAAUUUACUCCCUACUUAUUUUUUUAAUGUUAUUUUCUCUCUCUCUUUCAUUUGGUUUUAGCAUGCAUAUUCUCUAUCUCUCUUAUUGGUUCAAACUAAUAAAAAAAUAAUAUUUCACUAAAGUAGGGAAAAAUAUAAAGAGUUUGAUGUUUGGUUAUUUUUAAAAGUAGCUCUUUAAAUUUGAAAAAGUGAACUUUUCUCCUCAAAUUUAGCUUUUAUUUGAGGAGCCCAUUGUAAAUGCUUUAAACUAUAAAAAUACAAAGGGAACCAAAAGUUGUUCACUUCAUCUAGAGAACUAAAAGUGGUUUAUUUAGCAUUAGUUUAAUAUAAAAGUCUUUCUCUUUCAUCUCUUUUUCCUCUAGCAUUUAUUUUAAAUAAUUUUUAAUUGGCGUUCUCUUUUAUCUCUUUUCUUUUAACAUUUAAUUUUAAGAAUAUUUAAAUAUUUUUAGAAAAUGAUAAAGAAAGCUGCUAUAGAGGUUAUUUAAAUAGGAAAACAAAAAAUAGUUUAAUUUUUUUCAUUGAAAAAAAGUUUAAAGAAAACUGUUACUAGUGCUGUAAUAGAGAUAAACUACUUUGAUAUAAUUUUUUGGAUACUUCAUUCAAUGAGAAUACUGAAUAUAAAUACAUAUGAGCCGUGAUAUACAUUAGCUUAGGCUGAAUGAACAGCAAUUCAGUCCAGGCUGGAUUGGAUUAAAAAAAAAUAUAUAUAUUUUUUAAUAAUAAAGUUCACAAAAAUACUGUUCAUUAGACCUGGACUGAAUGACUAUUCAUUCGGUCCAGGCUGAUGUAUAUCUUUACUCAAAUACAUAUAGGUAGACCCAAUAGUUGACUCACUACAUUUCAAAAAAAAAAAAAAUUGUUUCUCAUGACUAACCUACGAC